AGAGUUUGACUCUGGCUCAGAACGAACGCUGGCAGCGUGGAUUAGGCAUGCAAGUCGAACGUGAAGCCGAUGACCAAUCUUUCGGGAAAGUGAUUCGGUGGAAAGUGGCGAAAGGGUGAGUAACGCGUGGGUAAGCUAUCUUCAAGUUCGGGACAACCCGCCGAAAGGCGAGCUAAUACCGAAUGUGGUCUUUGGAUGCAUAUCCGGAUGAUUAAGGGUGGGGCUCCUUUAGACCUGCCGCUUUUAGAGGUGCCCGCGUGCCAUCAGCUUGUUGGUAGGGUAACGGCCUACCAAGGCUUACGGCUAGCCGGCCUGAGAGGGUGACCGGCCACACUGGGACUGAGACACUGCCCAGACUCCUACGGGAGGCUGCAGUCGAGGAUCAUUCGCAAUGCGCGAAAGCGUGACGAUGCGACGCUGCGUGGAGGAUGAAGGCCUUCGGGUCGUAAACUCCUGUCAUGAGGGAACAGCCAUUUCGCCCCUAAUACGGGUGGGAUCCGAUGGUACCUCAAGAGGAAGCCACGGCUAACUCUGUGCCAGCAGCCGCGGUAAUACAGAGGUGGCGAGCGUUGUUCGGAUUUACUGGGCGUAAAGGGUGCGUAGGUGGUUUUGUAUGUCGGAUGUGAAAGCCCAUGGCUCAACCGUGGAAUUGCAUUCGAAACUGCGGAACUAGAGUGCAGGAUGGGAGAGCGGAAUUCUUGGUGUAGCGGUGAAAUGCGUUGAUAUCAAGAAGAACGCCGGUGGCGAAGGCGGCUCUCUGGAAUGUCACUGACACUGAGGCACGAAAGCUGGGGGAGCAAACAGGAUUAGAUACCCUGGUAGUCCCAGCCGUAAACGGUGCACACUUGGUGUGGGGAGAUUUAACCCUCUCCGUGCCGGAGCUAACGCGUUAAGUGUGCCGCCUGGGGAGUACGGCCGCAAGGCUAAAACUCAAAGAAAUUGACGGGGGCCCGCACAAGCGGAGGAACAUGUGGCUUAAUUCGAUGCAACGCGAAGAACCUUACCAGGGCUUGACAUAUACCUGCACGCCCCUCGAAAGGGGGGAAGCCUUCGAGGGUGGUAUACAGGUGCUGCAUGGCUGUCGUCAGUUCGUGCUGUGAGGUGUUGGGUUAAGUCCCGUAACGAACGCAACCCUUGUGGUUAGUUGCCACCGGCGGUGAUGAGCCGCCGAGCACUCUAGCCAGACUGCCCGUACAAGCGGGAGGAAGGUGGGGAUGACGUCAAGUCAGUAUGGCCCUUACGCCCUGGGCUGCACACGUGCUACAAUGGGCGGUACAAUGGGAAGCAAUACCGCGAGGUGGAGCGAAUCCCCAAAGCCGCCCCCAGUUCGGAUUGAAGUCUGCAACUCGACUUCAUGAAGUUGGAUUCGCUAGUAACGGCGCAUCAGCUACGGCGCCGUGAAUACGUUCCCGGGCCUUGUACACACCGCCCGUCACAUCAUGAAAGCCGUCUGCACCCGAAGUCGCUGAUCCAACCCGCAAGGGAGGAAGGUGCCGAAGGUGUGGGUGGUGAUUGGGAUGAAGUCGUAACAAGGUA
rnacentral:rRNA from 1 species